rnacentral:piRNA from 1 species
UGCAUCCUGUGUCCCUCACGCCUUUGC